rnacentral:rRNA from 1 species
UACAGAGGUCUCAAGCGUUGUUCGGAUUCAUUGGGCGUAAAGGGUGCGUAGGCGGCGGCGUAAGUCGGGUGUGAAAUCCCAGGGCUCAACCCUGGAACUGCAUUCGAUACUGCGUCGCUGGAGGACUGGAGAGGAGACGUGGAAUUCACGGUGUAGCAGUGAAAUGCGUAGAUAUCGUGAGGAAGGCCAGUGGCGAAGGCGAGUCUCUGGACAGUUCCUGACGCUGAGGCACGAAGGCCAGGGGAGCAAACGGG